UUAAUUCUUAGGGCAGAGAAAAAGGCACAAUCAUAUUAACUUGUAGCAGACGAGAAGGAAUUGGGUAGAUUAGUGAAAUCCUUUAUUCCUGCUGAUUUUUUUUUCUUUUUAAGACGAGGUCUUGCUCUUUUAUUCAGGCUGGAGUGCAGUGGUGUGAGCACAGCUCACUGCAGCCUCAAACUCCUGGGCUCAAGUGCUGCUCCUGCCUCAGCCUCCUGCAAAGCUGGAACUACAGGGAGAAGAUGACUUUAGUCCCCCAGUGUCAAGGAUAACCAGCCGUUCAUAAGAUGAGAGUUGGAGCAACUGCUCUAAGGAAUCUGAAGACAAACAGGCUGGCGGAAAGGAAGUCACCUCCAGUGCUCUAAGUCAGAGCCUCUCUGAUUCGCCUGUCUCCAUUAUUGCACAGCACAUGAUGAGUCUGACUUUGAGAGAUAAGUUGGCCAAAGUGGAGGAAUGCCACAUGCCUAGGCCACUUUCUCUGCCUAACUUUCGAUCACUUACCAUGAACAAGCUGAAGAAACUUACUCCUCAAACUGGCCUUUGCUCAAGUUCAUAAAGCACUUCAAAGAAAGAAAAUGACUCCUGUAUAUGAAUGUUGUUGCAAUUAAUAACUGCCCAUUUUUUAUUUCUAAGCUAUCUUUAAUUUGGUGGUUGAGGCCUAUGAAUAUGCCCAAGAGAUCAUGAACAAGACACAAUUUCUGCCUUCAAGAACCUUAAAAUUGAAAAAUCACGACGAAAAAAAACAAAGCCCUCUGAUCUGGUUUGGAUUUGUGUCCCCACCCAAAUCUCAUGUCAAAUUGUGAUCCCCAGUGUUGGAGGAGGGUCCUGGUGGGAGUUGAUUAGAUCAUGAGGCGACAUCCCCCCUGCUGUUCUUGUGAUAAUGAGUAAGUUCUCACAAGAUCUGGUUGUUUAGAAAUGCGUAACAGCUCCCUUUUUGCCCUCUCCCUCCUGCUCUGGCCUGCUUUCCCUUCGCCUUUCGCCAUGAUUGUAAGUUUUCUGCAGCCUCCCCAGUCAUAUUCCCUGUACAGCCUGUGGAGCUGUGAGUCAAUUAAACCUCUUUUCUUUGUAAA
rnacentral:lncRNA from 1 species